CUUGGAGGAAGGCAUGGUAACCCACUCUAGUAUUCUUGCUGGAGAAUCCCAUGGACAGAGGAACCUAGCAGGCUAUAGCCCAUGGGGUUGAAAAGGGUCAGAGUAACUUAGCACACACAGAUGAAGGACAGUAAAAGAGCAACCAUGAAUCCAUUCCCCGCUUCAUUUAAGACUUAGAACAUCGAGAAUAAGGAAUCUAGGAAGCUUACAUUUCCAAGAUCCCUUCAAAUUAAGUUUGGACCAAGUGACUGGCUUCUCCUGCAUUGGCUGUGGCCUCUUUAGGCCUUUGUGUUUAUCCUCACUCCACCUAUUUCAGUAGUGAUCUGGGAGGCCAUACGAUCAAGAGGGCAGGAU
ensembl:lncRNA